rnacentral:lncRNA from 10 species
CUUGCUGCCACCAUGUAAGAAGCGCCUUUCGCCCACUGCCAUGAUUAUGAGAUCUCCCCAGCCAUGUGGAACUAUUUUCAUGGCAUCAACAAAAGGAUAUACAGAAGUAUGAAACAAUCACUUGGCUUCUACACAUCCUGUGAAGACAUCUACACAGACCAAAAGGUAUUUUUACCUGCAGAAUGUGGGGAGCUGAAUGGAGUCCAUCUGCCACUCCUCCCCAGGUUCUUCAUCACAGACUCCAUUCCUGAUGCUGUCUUUUGCAACACAUCGCAAGCCACUUGCAUUUUUUCCCUCUCUGGAAGGAUCAAUGGACUGGGAAAGUAUAAACCAAGAAGUCACUCUGUUUUGGUCACUAAACCAGGCUGAUUUUUCAAAAACUUAAAGGUCGUGGAAAAGAAAAUGAUGACUGUUGUAAUUCUCGUUCCAGUUUAACUCACUCAGUGAAGACUUCUGUGGACAUCCUCCUUAUAGAAAAAAUGCCACAUGUUCUCUCCUAAAAUACAUUGUUUAGCAAAAUAUGAGGAUACUAAAUACAUUUUCCAGUGUUAUUUUUUCUAAAAAUUAAGUCAGUUUUAGCAAGUGUUUGGUUGAAUAUUUUAUAAAAUAUCUAAUGACUGGAGGCUAUUGUUCAGGCAACCAGAUAAAAUACCACAUGCUCACCAUACCCUGUAAUAUUUUUCUCCACAUAUCUAAUCACUGUAUAAUAUAGAUUAUGUUUUUAUUAUUUAUUUUGUUUAUCCGUUUCUCCUAAUAAAAUGUAGUUUUC